rnacentral:rRNA from 1 species
AGAGUGAACGCUGGCGGCAGGCCUAAUACAUGCAAGUCGAACGGCAGCACGGCAGAGCUCGCUCUGUGGGUGGCGAGUGGCGGACGGGUGAGGAAUACAUGGGAAUCUGCCCAGUCGUGGGGGAUAACGUAGGGAAACUUACGCUAAUACCGCAUGCGCCCGUUCGGGGGAAAGCCGGGGACCUUCGGGCCUGGCGCGAUUGGAUGAGCCCAUGUCGGAUUAGCUAGUUGGCGGGGUAACGCCCACGAAGGCGACGAUCCGUAGCUGGUCUGAGAGAUGAUCAGCCACACUGGAACUGAGACACGGUCAGACCUCGUACGGAGCAGCAGUAGGAAUGUGGACAAGUCGGGCACAAGCUAGACUCCAGCCAGUCGCCGGCGUGGAGUAGAAA